AUAAACGCUGGCGGCGUGCCUAAUACAUGCAAGUCGAGCGAGAAAGUUCCUUCGGGAAUGAGUAAAGCGGCGAACGGGUGAGUAACGCGUGAGAAUCUGCCCUUCAGUGAAGAAUACCGUCGAGAAAUUGACGUUAAUGCUGCAUACGUCCCUUCGGGGAGAAAAGUGGCCUCUUUGCUACUGCUGAAGGAUGAGCUUGCGUACUAUUAGCUAGUUGGUGGGGUAAUGGCCUACCAAGGCGAUGAUGGUUAACCGGCCUGAGAGGGUGUACGGUCACACUGGAAUUGAGAAACGGUCCAGACUCCUACGGGAGGCAGCAGUAAGGAAUAUUGCGCAAUGGGCGAAAGCCUGACGCAGCGACGCCGCGUGGAGGAUGAAGGUCUUCGGAUUGUAAACUUCUGUUAAGUGGGAAGAAAAAGCUGUUUUUAAUAGAAGCAGUUAAUGACGGUACCAUUAAAGAAAGCACCGGCUAAACUCGU
rnacentral:rRNA from 1 species